rnacentral:rRNA from 1 species
GAGUUUGAUCCUGGCUCAGGACGAACGCUGGCGGCGCGCUUAACACAUGCAAGUCGAGCGAGAACCAGGGCUUCGGCCCUGGGGAAAGCGGCGAACGGGUGAGUAACACGUGGGUAAUCCACCCUCGGCACCGGAAUAGCCCGGGGAAACCCGGAUUAAUGCCGGAUGGCCCGCCGGCCCCUCGGGGCCGGCCGGAAAGGUAGCUUCGGCCUCCAGCCGAGGACGAGCCCGCGGCGGAUUAGCUUGUUGGUGGGGUAACGGCUCACCAAGGCGACGAUCCGUAGCUGGUCUGAGAGGACGAUCAGCCACACUGGGACUGAGACACGGCCCAGACUCCUACGGGAGGCAGCAGUGGGGAAUCUUGCGCAAUGGGCGAAAGCCUGACGCAGCGACGCCGCGUGAGGGAAGAA